rnacentral:rRNA from 1 species
GAUGAACGCUGGCGGCGUGCCUAAUACAUGCAAGUCGAGCGAACAGACGAGGAGCUUGCUCCCCUGACGUUAGCGGCGGACGGGUGAGUAACACGUGGAUAACCUACCUAUAAGACUGGGAUAACUUCGGGAAACCGGAGCUAAUACCGGAUAAUAUAUUGAACCGCAUGGUUCAAUAGUGAAAGACGGUUUUGCUGUCACUUAUAGAUGGAUCCGCGCCGCAUUAGCUAGUUGGUAAGGUAACGGCUUACCAAGGCAACGAUGCGUAGCCGACCUGAGAGGGUGAUCGGCCACACUGGAACUGGGACACGGUCCAGAGUCCUACGAGAGGCAGCAGUAUGGAAUCUUACGCAAUGGGCGAAAGCCUGACGGAGCAACGCCGCGUGAGAGAUGAAGGUCUUCGGAUCGUGAAACUCUGUUAUUAGGGAAAAACAAAUGUGUAAGUAACUAUGCACGUCUUGACGGUACCUAAUCAGAAAGCCACGGCUAACUACGUG